GAGUUUGAUCGUGGCUCAGAUUGAACGCUGGCGGAAUGCUUUACACAUGCAAGUCGAGCGGCAGCGCGGGGCAACCUGGCGGCGAGCGGCGAACGGGUGAGUAAUGCAUCGGAACAUGUCCAAGUCGUGGGGGAUAGCCCGGCGAAAGCCGGAUUAAUACCGCAUGUGCCCGAGAGGGGAAAGUGGGGGACCGCAAGGCCUCACGCGAUUGGGUUGGCCGAUGUCCGAUUAGCUAGUUGGCGGGGUAAGAGCCCACCAAGGCGAUGAUCGGUAGCUGGUCUGAGAGGAUGAUCAGCCACACUGGGACUGAGACACGGCCCAGACUCCUACGGGAGGCAGCAGUGGGGAAUUUUGGACAAUGGGGGCAACCCUGAUCCAGCCAUUCCGCGUGAGUGAAGAAGGCCUUCGGUUGUAA
rnacentral:rRNA from 1 species